rnacentral:rRNA from 1 species
GACGUAGGGCGCGAGCGUUGUCCGGAUUUAUUGGGCGUAAAGAGUUCGUAGGCGGCUUGUCGCGUCGACUGUGAAAUCCCGCGGCUCAACUGCGGGUCUGCAGUCGAUACGGGCAGGCUAGAGUUCGGUAGGGGAGACUGGAAUUCCUGGUGUAGCGGUGAAAUGCGCAGAUAUCAGGAGGAACACCGGUGGCGAAGGCGGGUCUCUGGGCCGAUACUGACGCUGAGGAGCGAAAGCGUGGGGAGUGAACAGG